GGUCUUUUGGAAAAUAAUGAUGAUGAUCCAGAGUUAAUAGUUUUUAUUCCACUUCACAAAUCAUGAUGCUUUUGAGUUGGUGUUCAAUCAUGACAGACAGAGUCCAAGCGUUGAAAUUGUCACCUACAAGAGAAUUCGCUUCACAGACGAAGCAGUUAUUUUGGAUGUGGGAGACCACAUAAAUAUACAAGCCCACACAUGCA